rnacentral:lncRNA from 1 species
UUUGGGACCCUAUCUACAUCUAUUUAUAAAACUAACGGGUGCCAGUUAUGCCAUUACAAAUUAUCCCCUCUUCAUACAUUUCCUUAAAAUUCUUCUGAAACACCAAAACUAAAUAAUCGAAUAUGGCUUUGCGGGUCGAUGAUGCCAGCAACAAUGAGGCUGCAAUUAUCACUUGUUUAGUUUCUAUGCUUGCCGUGGUUUAUUUCGUAUGGAAUGUGAACAAAUCAAGGAAAGCAAAUGCUAAACUGCCACCAGGACCUCGCGGUUUGCCUGUAGUCGGAUACCUCCCAUUUCUCGGAACUACUGACUUGCACAAGAAAUUCACGGAAUUAUCCGGAGUUUAUGGUCCGAUCUUCAAGCUCUGGCUCGGAAAUAAAUUAAGUGUCGUGGUGAGCUCACCUUCCCUAGUUAAACAAGUGGUUCGUGAUCAAGAUACAACAUUCGCAGACCGUGACCCGCCGAUCUCAGGACUAGUGACCUCCUUUGGUGGCAAUGAUAUUACAUGGUCCAAUUACGGUCCCGAAUGGAGAAAGUUGCGCAAAUUUUUUGUGGGCAAGAUGAUGAGUAACGCAAGCCUUGAUGCUUGUUAUGCUUUAAGAAAACAUGAGGUUAAAAAUACUAUCAGGGAUUUGUAUAACAACGGCAACAAAAUUGGUAAGCCCAUUGACAUUGGUGAAUUGUCGAUUUCAACAUUGGUAUGUGCUAUGCAGAACAUGCUGUGGGGUGAAGCGCUUGAAUUAAAAGAGAAAGGGACAACUAAUCUUGGGGUUGAGCUAAAAUUUAAGUUUGCAGAACUCAUGGUGCUACUGGGAACACCGAAUAUUUCGGAUAUCUUUCCAAUGCUUUCUUGGCUCGACAUACAAGGUAUAGAGAGGAGAGCAAAGAAGAUUUCACUCUGGUUUGAAAAAAUUAUAAAUUCUACUGUUGAAAAGUAUAGAAGCAAGGACUUUAAUGUUGAAGGUAAAGAAAGAGCAGGGGAAAAUUUUGAAGGAUCAAGGAACAAGAACUUCUUGCAGUUACUAUUGGAGCUUCAAGAAAAUGAAGACGGUUCUUCCUCAAUUAGCAUGAACCAAUUUAAGGCCGUACUCGUGGUAUGUUAAGAAACUAGCCGCAAACAGUUAUACAAGCACAGCUGUAUAUUUUGCAUGAGUGAUAUUUUCAACCUUUUUUUUUUAUAAUUAGAAUUUUAUUGUAACCUUUUGGACAGGAUAUAAUUACGGCUGGAACCGACACCACAACUACGAUGGUGGAAUGGACAAUGGCAGAGUUGAUGCAGCAUCCACAAAUAAUGAAGAAAGUUCAGGAAGAAUUAGCUCAAGUUGUGGGCAUGGACAGUUGUGUUGAAGAAUUUCAUUUGCCUAAAUUGAAAUAUUUAGAUGCUGUGGUGAAAGAAUCGUCUCGUCUGCAUCCUGCAGUGCCUUUAUUACUACCACGCAGAGCAAGCGAGAGUGGCAGCAUUGGUGGCUAUAACAUUCCCAAAGAUACAACUAUUAUGUUGAAUGUUUGGGCAAUCCACAGGGACCCUAAACUUUGGGAUAAUCCCUUAGAAUUUCGACCCGAGAGGUUUCUAGAUGAUGGUAUCGCGAGUAAGUUCGAUUACUCAGGUAACAAUUUUCAGUACUUGCCAUUUGGUUCUGGUAGAAGGAUGUGUGCUGGGAUUCCUCUAGCUGAGAGGAUGCUGAUGUUUGUUUUGGCUUCGUUAUUGCACUCAUUUGAGUGGGAAUUGCCAGCUGGCACAAAGCUAAACUUAUCUGAAAAAUUUGGGAUUGUCAUUAAGAAAAAAGAGCCUUUAGUUGCUAUUCCAACACCAAGACUAUCCAAUUCAGAGCUCUACCAUUAAGACAGAAUGGUUGUGAUGAUUUUGUUAAUUUCCGAAGAUUUGUAUGUUAUGUCAAGUUCAAUCGUAAUAAAAUAUUUCAAAUAAGAGUCCUCCGUUGCUUUUUUUUUUUUUUUCAACCGCAUAAUCUGUCGUCAUGCUUGUAUUUGGGGCUACUUUGGAAUAAUUAUGUUUGAAUUACAAUAUAUAAAUAUUACAUUUUAAAAUUUUAUGAGAUUCUAAAUUUAUACACGUUCAAUAACCCACUUCAUAUAUGUUUAACACAAUUUAUAUCAUACAUUGUAUACCCAUUUGUCAUAAAUUACGCUAUUUUAUAUCUCUAAAUAAUAUUACAUAUUGAUAUUAUAAAAUGUUGUUAACUCACGUGUGUAUAUAUAUAUAGCAAGUCACGUGCAUAUAUUAUUGGUUGUUAUAUGUUUGCUAGUUUGAUAGGAUUUCCUUUCCUUGUGAACUAGGGUAAUUCUUAUGUACAUAUAAAUAUUGAUCAAUAAGAGUGCAGAUGAUGACUGCAGUUUUGCAUCGUAGAAAUUCUUCGUAAAAUAUAUAUGUUUAUCAAAAGGCUAUACCAUUCAAUAUAUAUUGGAAAGAGAACAAAGAAGAUCUUCUUAUGGUUUGAAAAUAUUAUGAAUUCUGCUGUUGAACAGUAUGGAAACAAGGUCUGUUGUUAAAGGUGAAGAAGUCACAGGGAACAAUAUUGAAGGAAGAAAUUUCACGUUUAGUUGCUGAAUUUGCCGCUGUAUUCUAUCGGUAGUAAAAAGAUUAGAGUUUUUAUUUUUCUCUAUUAAUGUUAAGUCAAUUUUCUAUAACAAAUUCGGUUGAGUUUAAUUGUGUUACAAUAUAAAUUGAAUGAUAGUAGAAUUUUCAACGAAUAAUUCAAUAUUUCUAUCUCGAUUGUUGAAGUGCCAUUUAUUUGUUAUACGAUCGAUUUUAAAAUUUAUAAAAUUAUUUGUUACUAAAUUGCAUCAUAUGCUAAAUCACCUGAAACCUAAUUUCAUAACUAACCCUUUAUUUUUAGUUCUCAAGAAAUCUUGUAAGAACAAAAUUCUUUUGUAACAAAACGUUUACAACAAAUUAAUUUGUAACUCAUUCCUGUGCGAGAAUCACUCUCAAUUUCCUUCAAUUGCUGUUUAACAAUCAUCUGCUUAUCAAAAUUCAAGCAUAAUCUUUUUUUUUAAUUUCUUCAUCAUUCUUUUGAAAAAAAAAAUCAGGAUAUGCUGUUAAAUUUUGAAAUAAAUUAUCUCAAAAUAAUUACUAACCAGAAAAAACAAAGGGGUUUAACUAGGUUAUGCAUACCUUUGAAAAUUAUAUGUUGAUCGAUAAGAAUGAUGAUCACGAUUGACGAGUUUAAUUAAAAUAUAUAAGAUUUUAAAAUUAAUCAGGGUUAAAUUGUGAAUUUUAGAAAGAGAGGUUUUGUGAGAAUGUUGAAAGGGUGUUAAUAGUUCCACUCUUUUUAAAAACAACCAUAGUCAUCAUUUUUCCAUGGUUGUUUUUAAAAAGAGUAUUUCUUCUUCCCAUCUCCAUCUUAUUUAGAAAUUUCCCAGAGCCUUUGUUUCCCACCUUUCAUUUUUCUUCUUUCUAAUUUAAUAAUCCACCCUUCUUGUAUUCAAACUAAAAAAUUAAAAUCUGAAAAUUUAAAACCCAAUAUUAUAGUAUUAUAAAAAUAAUUACUCACAUUUUAUCAAACACCUCCAUUCUUCCAAGGCCUUGUUUUAGUAGUAGGCUUUUAUUAUCUCAAUAAAAUUGAAAAAAAAAAUCUCAAUAAUAUUGGAAAAAAACCCUACCCAUAUUUGUAACUUUAAUUUAUUAUUCUCCAUAGACCUACUUUUUAGUUUUGAAUUUUGUUGGAGCCAUAUAUAAACAGAAUAUGUUGAAAUCAGCACCCAAAAAAAAAAAAACUAAUUAUAUAAUUUAUGUUCCCAAGGACAUGGCUGAGUGAUUUUCAAGAAGUUUUGUUUGGCUGGCCACUUAGGUUUAAAUCUUGGUGGAGAUUAAGGGUUAAGAAAUAAAUUUAGACUUUGCACACCCCUUUAACUUUUAAAAAGAAAUGAAAAAAUUAAUUAAUUAAUCUUUAUUUUAUUUAUUAAAUGUCAUAAUCCUAUGCGUAUUUUAUUUGUUAUCUUUCUAUUUAAAAGACGAGGGCAGAUAAAACUGAAAUAAAUUUUUAGCCCUAUCUCCAUAUUUCAAGUUCCAUAGUUAGGUGACCAGCUAAAAAAAAUUAAUUGAAAGCUACUCCAUCAAAUUAAAAAAAUUUAUUUAUUUAAUUUGUGGAGAUGUAGAAAAUCAAACCCCAUACCUUUUCGCAUACACUGAACAUAUUUUAAUACAUGACUAUCAUCCUUUAUCCUAAAUACUACUAUAACUAAUAACAUACAAUUGAAAUAAUUAAUGUUAACACUUGGCUAUAAAUAAAGGUUUUGUGCUUGAAUCUUCACGCAUGACCUUCAUUCCUUUAUUGACUUUGCUAACACAGAUUUUGAGGCAUUAAAACUAAAUAAUAAUUGACUUUGUGGGCCGAGGAUGCCAGCAACAAGGAGACCACAAUUAUCACUUAAGUUACUCUAAUUGCCGUUGUCUUAUAUUCAUAGAAUAUUAGUAAUAAGAUUAUUGCAGAAUUUUUUUAAUAUUAAAAUUAAGUCAAUUUGUUAUAACAAAUUUAGUUGAGUUUAAUCGUGUUACUACAUAAAUUGAAUAAUAAUAGAAUUCUCGACAAAUAUUUCAAUAUUUUUAUCCCAAGCGUUGGAGUGGCAUUUAUUUGUUAUACGAUCGAUUUUAGAACUUAUAAAAUUAUUCGUUACUGAAUUGCACCAUAUGCUGCAUGACCUGAAACUUAAUAAACGGAAUGUAGCGUUGGCACCGUUACUCAACAUACUGUUACGACUUUGUGACAUUAGAAUUAAAAUCUUUUGCACAUUUAAUUUGUUUACUUCAAAAUUAAUAUUUAACAAAAUAUUUUUUUCACAUUAUCAAUGGACAAAACUCCAACGAAAAUAACUACACAAGAAAAAUGUAUGCUAGUAUUGUGUGCCAUAUCAUCUGUAAUUUUGUCAGGAUCGAACACUCUAAUUUUUAAGCAGAACUUUUUAUCAAUGGACAAACACCUCACACAGCUUGUCAGAGGCAUUAUUAUGAUAGAAAACUGUAAUGGUAUAUCUUGAAUUAUUGGUAGAAUAGUUCUUUGGAGCAAUAAAAAUAGAUAAGACAGAUGAGAAAAUUGUCAAUACCCCACCGCAAAAGCAAAAGAAAAAAAGGAAAGGAGACAAAAGAGGAAGAAGAAAAAAAGGAAAGGAGACAAAAGAGGAAGAAGAAAAAGAAAAAAGAACGAAGAAAAAAAUGGUGCCGCGCUGUAUUGGGAAGAAGAAAAAAAUUAAUAAAAUAAUAAUAAAUAAUAAAUAAUAAAUAAUAAAAUAAUAGUGCACAACAAUCAUUUGAUUGCUAUAAAUAAAGGGGCAUUUUCCUCAUUUUAUUCAUCGAAUUCUUCAGUUCCUUUCAAGCGAUUUAAGAGUCUAGUGAUUUGAGAGUUUGGGAGUAUUGUGAUUUUGAGUACUAAGUUAAAAUACUAUAAUACUUGUAACUCAUUUUCACUAGUAAAAUAUUUUUCUUCUGUCUUCGCCCGUAGACGUAGGCUAAAAGCUGAACCACGUAAUUUCUGGUGUCCCUAUGUGAUUAUGUGUCUCAUUAUUUCUCAAUUUUACUUUAGUUACGUGUCUGCUACACCCUUCAAUUUACUAACAAAAAUGGCCAAAAUUAUAUAAGUGACCCAAAUUUUUUUGCUAUUUCCAAGAAAUCCCCAAUCGGAAUAGACCAAACUAGAGGGAGGCAAGUUAGAAAUACGUUUCCUUCAUAAACAAUAACAGCGAUGAGUCGAUGACAUCGAGCCACGUCGGUAUCAAUAUUGAAUUAAAGGUGCAAUUAUUCAGCCAAUGAGCCUUACACAUCAAGAUAAAAGUCAAGAAAAUGAAAAAUUUAUCCUAAUUAAAACACUUUCUGGCUGCAUUUAGCUGUUUCUAUUUGAAGUUAAAAACAACAUUUCUUUCGUUUUGUGGGCAACUCGACUGAGUUCGCUGGCUUCUAGUGCUAGUAUGUGAAAAUAGAAGGCUAAUGAUUUAUUUGUUAUCUUUUGACAAAAAAUGUUAAAGAUAUAAUAGAUUUUCCAUGAUACAAAUGAAAAAUUAUAUCAACAUAACUUCCAAGCUACAGCAGCUAGUGUUUACCAAACACUUUGCUGUAGCUUUUAAGCUACAGCUGCCCAACCUCAAUAGGUUGAUUGAAUUUGUGGGAUAUAGAUUCCACAUAUCUCAUGACCUAUUAAUUAUACAAGUGGUUCUUGAUCAAGAACAACAUUUGCUUCCGACCCAGUAACCCAGCAACUGCUGCACUGGUCGCCACCUAUGGUGCCGACGAUAUUGCAUGGUCCAAUUAUGGCCUUGAAUGGAAAAAGUUGAGCAAAUUAUUUGUGGGCACGAUGAUAAGUAACGCAAGCCUUGAUGCUAGUUAUGGUCGAAGAAAACAAGAGGUUAAGAAUACUAUCAGAGAUAUGCAUAACAACAAAAAGGAAAAAAAAAAAAAAAGGCAUUGGCAAGUCAAUUGAUAUUGCUGAAUUGUCGAUUUCAACUUUGGCAUGUGUAAUUCAGACAUUGCGCGUUGUGGUAUGGCGCUGGCACGCUUGCAUUGCCGAGAGGACAAAUCUUGGGGCUGGGCUAAAAUUUAGGCUUGUAGAACUCAUGGUGCUAAUGGGAACGCCAAAUUUUUUUAACAUAUUUCGGUGCUUUCAUGGUUUAAUUCAAGGUAUAGAAAGGAGUGUUGAGAAUGUCAAAUAAAACGACAUUGAAUGGAAGUUGUCAAAGACAUGAUCCGCACUGAACGGCAAUGACACGGUUGGUAAAGAUUUUUUCAUAAUAUGCGUAUCUAAUUUUUGAAAAAUUGUAACCUCUGCUUCUAUAAAUAUGCUCAAUGUAUAAUGUUUUACUUAAGAAAUGAAAAACUUAAUUCUUUAUGGUAUCAGAGCGAGGCUCGUUGCUCUGUUUGUAACAAAAACAAAGAAAACUAAAUUCUUCCCACAACUAUUUUUCCACCUUUUUUUCUUCCUUAAAAGCAUUCCUAGCAUUACAGAAACCCAUGCCAAUAAAAGAACAAGCCACACAUAUGUAAAAACUUUAGUUUACAAAUCUAUCAACAUCCCCAUAAAUUUUCCCAAAAAGUGAUCUUCAAAAACCAAAAAUACCAUCAAUUUUCGCAUCUUCUAGUAAACAAACUAUAAAAGUUUCGCACUCAAACAGAGCCACACGCGCCUCCACGCGCUUCCCGGAAUCACGGCCAACCACCACGCGCCUCUGUCACCACCAACUCACCCUCAUGCGCUCCAGAUGUUGCAGAAGACGCAAAACGACGUGUCGUUUUCUUCUCUAAAAGUGCAGCAACGUGGAAAUGACUUUUUGUUUUUGCCUUAAAUUGUUUUUCCUCGUUUGAAGCUAUACAACAUUUUUCUUUCUAAACCUGUUUUUUACAAUAAAAAAAGAAAAAAAUGGAGAAAACUCCAACUGAAUCUACUCAUGUUGUCAUUCAAUCUGUUCAACCUGAUGGAGUAUUUAAUGCCGAAAUUAUCCUUACUAAGACAAACUACGAUAUUUGAUCUCAAAUAAUGGAGAUGCAUCUCGCAGAAAGAAAAAAACUCCCAUAUAUUCGUAGCAGCAUAAAUCCAUCUGACAAAUUUUCAAAGAAAUAUGAGAAAUGGUAUAGUGAGAACCAAAAAGUAAAAAGAUGGUUACUCAUAACCAUGUGUCCUGAGAUCAUGAAGCGAUAGUUACAAAUUCCUACAGCCUACGAAAUUUAGAAUGCAUUAUCAAAAGCCUUUUAUAAUGGAAGCGAUGAAAUACAAGUUUUCACUCUAAAUCAGAAGGCGUUCUCUACGAAGCAAAAUGGACAACCACUCUCUAAAUUCUACGGAGAAUUGAUCAAAAUGUUUCAAGAACUUAAUCACCGAGAUAAAGUGGUCAUGAAGGAUCCAGAAGAUGUUAUAAUAUAUAGGAAGUUUGUUGGAAGAUUGAGAGUGCACAUUUUUCUUGCUGGACUAGAUGAAGAAUUUGACCAAGUUUGUGGAGAAAUUCUACGAAAAGAUACUAUCCUAGACUUAAAAGAAUGUUAUUCUCUAAUCCGAAAAGAAGAUGUACGGCAAAGCAAACUAACAAGAAGGUGGACGACUCAGAAACGUCUGCUAUGAUACCACAAGAGAACAAUGUUUUGAAAUUGUUCGAUAUCCUGACUGGUGGGAUACUCGAAGUAAUAACACAAAGCAGAGAUAAAAAACUGCAGUAGCUGAAUCCACAUCCACUACAGAUCUUAGAAAAGAAUCUUCAGCGCAAAUUGCAACCUCUGUCAAUUCAGGUAAGGUCAUUAAAACUCUUACAUUUGUUAUUAAUAGUAUAUGGAUAAUUGAUUAUGGUGCAACUGAUCAUAUGACUUUUGAUUCUUGACAAGUUUCUUAAUUGAAACCAUCUUCACAUAAACAUGUUUCUACUGUAAAUAGAACCACAACCUCAGUUAUUGGGGAAGGAUCUUUACAACUCACAAUUAAAUCAAAUUUAGACUUUGUGUUAAUUGUUCCAUCUUUAAAUUAUAAUCUUUUAUAUGUGUCUCAAAUAACCUCUUACUUAUCAUGUGUUGUAAUGUUUUGGCCCGAUCAUUGCAUGUUUAAGGACAUCCAAAUGAAGGAAACGAUUGGUUAUGAUAUUAAAUAAGGCAACUUGUAUUACCUGGAGAUGACAUCAACAAACACUGAAAAGCUAAGCCCCGCAUUAGUAGCAGACAAUUCCAUGAAAAAAAAGGAAAUAAGAAAUUUGGUUAUGGCAUAGACGAUUAGGGCAUGUGUCAUUUGAUUUCUUAAAAAAAUUGUUUCCUAGUUUGUUUCUGAAAUUUGAUAUUUGUAACUUUAAAUAUGAUGUUUGUGAACUUUCAAAUAGCCAUCGAACUACUUUUCCAUUGUCCUUAAAUAAGAAUCCAAUUCCUUUAAUGGUAGUACAUUCUGAUGUAUAGAGACCAUCUAAAGUUUCUACCAUUGGAAGAGCUCGUUGGUUUGUUACAUUUAUUGAUGAUUGUAGCAGAAUGACAUGGAUUUUUUUAUGAAAUUAAAAUCAUAUGAUGGUGACAACUCUAUUUCAGACACAAAUUUGAGUUCUACAUACUGAUAAUGGAGGCGAGUAUAUGAGCACAACAAUUCAACAGUUUUUGAAAUCACAAUGAACUCACCACCAAACCACUUGUGUGGGGACACUCCAACAAAAUGGCGUUGCUAAACAAAAAAAUAGACAUUUACUAGAAGUUGUUCAAGCAUCACUAAUUUAGGCCCGCAUGCCACUAUUUUAUUGGGGAGAAGCAUUGGCAUCCGUAGCAUACUUGAUCAAUCGGACACCUUCAAUCUUCCUUGGAUUCCAAACUUAUUUUCUAGUUCUAAAUGAAGAAUUAUGUCAUCAAAUGUGUCGAAUUUACCCCCACAUAUGUUUGGUUGUGUUGCCUUCGUUCAUUUGCCAUGACAAGAUAAAUUAUCUCCUCGAGCACUACGUUGUGUGUUUGUAGGGUAUGCCUUACAUCAAAAGGGGUACCGAUGCUAUCAUCCUCUAUUAAGAAAAAAUAUACAUCACCAUGGACAUAAUCUUUCAUGAAGAUAUCAUGUAGUACCCAUCGGAGCUUGAAUUUCAGAGGGAGUAUAAUGAAGAGGAAAUUCAUACUCUUACAUAUCUUUCACCUGAAGAAGAUCAAUCCUCCAUUGAGGUAGUAAACGUUCAAGAUACUGGAAAAGAAAACGACAAUGAUUCUCAGGCUGAGACAAGUGAAGACACAUUUAGGGAGCAAAAUAACUCAGACAUAACCACAAUCGAGAACGAGUCCAUGAAGAGCCACAUGAAGAAAUAUCUAACCAAUCAUCUGCAGAGGAUGAUCCUACCACAAAUCCCAGUCUAAUCAGAAGAAUACUUCCCCAGCAUCAAAAUAGAGGUAUCUCUAAACCCACAUAUAAGACUGACCUCUCUAGUAGAGUCAAAUACCCUAUGAGUCAUUUUGUAUCUAACCAUGGCUUAUCAAAAUCAAAUCAGUCAUUUGUGAAUCAAUUAUCUACUGUGUCUAUUCCUAACAGUGUGCAAUAAGCCUUAAAAUAUCGAAAGUGGAAAGGGCUAUGAAUGACGAAAUGAGAUCUCUUUAAAAAAAAUCAAACAUGGGAACUAAUUGAUCUUCCACCAGGAAAGAAACCAGUGGGUUGCCGAUGGAACUAGUUGAUCAUCCACCUCCAUUCUGACAAGCAAUGUUUAUCAGCAAUAACAAAUGACUGAAGCAUUUUAAUGAGGUUAGUAACGAAAAAGAGUUUAAUUAGAGAAUAUUAUAAGAGAAAUUCUAAUUUUUGAUUUUUAAUAAAUUAAAAUAUCUUAAAAUAUUAUUAGUUGGUGGUGGUUUCAUGUCAGAUUAAGACGUGACACCUUACUAAUGAGGUCGAGACAAUUAGCUUAAAUUAUUUCAAUGCAUUUGAAAUUUCCACUAAUGACUAUAAUUCUUUGUCCUAAUUACUAUGAUAAUUAAUAACAUACAAUUGAAAUAGUUAAUAUUAGCACUUGGCAAUAAAUAAUUAAAUUUCAUUAACACUAAAUAAUAAUUGAAUAUGGCUUUGUACAUCGAUGACGCCAGCAACAAGGGGACCGCGAUUAUCACUCUUUAAGUUGCUUUUAAAAUUGAUUUUAGUAGUGAUAUGAUUAUUGUAGUGUUUUUAUUUUUUAUAUUAAAAUUAAGUGAUUUGUUAUAAUAAACUUAGUUGAGUUUAAUGGUAUUACUACAUAAAUUGAAUAGUUAUCAAAUAUUUUAAUAUUUUUAUGGCAAGCGUUGACGUGGCAUUUAUUUGUUGUAUGAUGGAUUUUAAAAUUUAUAAAAUUAUUUGUUAUUAAAUUACCCCCAGAUGCUACAUCACCUGAAACUUAAUAAAGGUAUGAAGACAUGUGUGUGUGGACUGAAAUGAAGAAUAUGGAAAAGUUGAGAGCUGUUGUGCAGAUUGAGUUCAGUUGAUGGGGUCUAUUAGAUAUUGUCUGCUGACGUGGCAUGAAUUCGUUAUAAUCUGUUAUAACGAGUUCAGUAUAUCAGUAUACAAUAGAGCUGAUGGAUGGUGCCUGUUUUAGAGUCUUUUUUAUAUUCAUUUGUUCAUCAUUUUGCGCAAGAUCUGUUCCAUUGUGAUAUGUGUAAAGUCUUAUGUAAACCCACUUAUGAUUGGAUUAGUUCUUGAUUAAUAACAACGAGUAAAUUUUCCUUCAAGUGUGCUGGUCUGUGCCCCUGUUUUUUGUUCUGAUAUUGUUUCUUUGUUCUGGCAUUUCAUUUCGAUUGUGUUCUUGGUGUUUCUACUCAUCAAGAUUUAUGAGUCUUGUUGAGAUUAAAGACUUAAUAGUCUUAACAAGUGGUAUCAGAGCCUGGUGAAUCUCAGCCAUGUCUCUUUCGAAGCAUGAAAUUGAAAAAUUCACCAUUGGUGGUGAUUUCUCGCUUUCGAAAUUAAAAAUGAGGGCUCUCCUUGUGCAUUAGAGGCUUGAAUUUGCUCUGGAAAAAGAUAAUCUAGAGGCUGCUACAAGUUAUGUGACUGAUGAUAAGAAGAGACAAAUCCAAAACCGAGCUCGUAGCACUCUAGUUUUGAGUCUUGGUGACUCAAUCUUGAGAAAGAUUUCUGAAGAGAAGACAACCUUAGGGAUUUGGAACAAGGUAGAAGCUUUGUGUACAAAGAAGUCGCUAGCUCACAGACUAUUCUUGAAGAAAAAGUUAUACACAUUCUCGAUGAGAGAAGGAGUCACAAUUCAAGAUCACAUUGAUACCUUCAACAAGAUCAUUCUUGAUCUUGAAGGGGUGGAAAAUGUGACAAUAAGUGAUGAAGAUAAAGCCUUCUUCUUGUUGAGUUCCUUACCAAAGUCUUAUGAAGGCUUUGUAGAUACAAUGCUUUAUGGCAGAACAACAUUGACUCUUGAAGAUGUUAAAGCAUCUCUAAGUUCAAAAGAGAUUCAGAAGAACAAUGAGAUUGAAACAAAUAAUGGUGAUGGGCUGAUUGCCAGAUCAGAAAAGAAGAAAGAUCAGAAGAAUAAAAAUCAGGGAAAAUGACAUGGAAAGAAUUAAGAAAAUGCAGACAAGAAGAAAAAGAAGAGAAAAUGCUUCUACUGCCGGAAGGAAGGGCAUUACAUCAGGGAUUGUCUUAAAAAGAAAAAAAAAGAAAGUCAAGAGAAGUCAGGGGAUGCAGCUGUAGCCUCUGAUGAUGCCUCUGAUGGAUAUCACAUUGCUGAUUUACUUGUGGCCUCAAAUAGCAAUACUAAAGGUCAGUGGGUCAUAGACUCUGAGUGCUCUUUUCACUUGUGGCCUGAUAAAACCAUAUUUUACAAAUAUGAAGUUGUUGAUGGUGGUAGAGUCUUAAUGGGAAAUAAUAAUGUGUGUAAUCUUGUUGGUAUUGGUUCUGUGAAGAUCAAGAUGUUUGAUGGAACUGUAAGAGCUCUACAUGAGGUGAGGCAUGCUCCUAGGCUAAAGAGAAAUCUAAUCUCUUUAGGCAUGCUAGACAGCUUAGGGUAUUUCUUUAAAUCAGAAAGUGGUGGUUUAGAGAUAAGAAAGGGGACUGAGAUAGUGAUGAAGGGGGUUAAAGAAAAUGGCUUAUAUGUAUUGUAAGGCUCAUCAGUGCUUCUUCAAAAGGGAAUUUCUGCUCUUUUUGAGGAAGAUAUAACCAAGUUAUGACAUCUUAGACUUGGUCAUAUGAGUGUCAAAGGGAUGUAAGAGCUCAGCAAACAAGGGCUACUUGGUGGGGAUAGAAUCCAGCAACUGGAAUUAUGUGAAAAUUGCAUUUUUGGCAAAGCUCACAGGUCCAAGUUUCACAAGGGGGAGCAUAUGUCUAAGCAAGUUUUGGACUAUGCACAUGCUGACCUUUGGGGGCCUGCUCAAGUCCCAUCCUUGAGUGGUGGCAGGUAUUUCAUAUCACUAAUUGAUGAUUACUCAAGGAAGAUGUGGGUCUACAUACUCAAGACCAAAGAUCAAGCCUAGGAAAAAAUUCAAGGUAUAGAAAUCUUUGGUAGAAAAUCAAUUUGGAUUCAAGCUCAAAUGCUUGAGAACUGAUAAUGGUUUGGAAUUUUGUAGCAAAGAAUUUGAGGAAUAUUACAAAAAAACAUGGCAUAAAAAGGCACAAAACAGUCAGGUUCACCCCCCAGCAGAAUGGCUUGGCUGAAAGGAUGAACAUGACCUUGGUAGAUAAGACCAGAUGUAUGUUGAUAAAUUCAAAGCUUCCAAGAAGCUUUUGGGCAGAAGCUGUCAAUACAACAAGUUGUUUGGUUAACAGAAGCCCAUAUUCUGCAAUUGGCUUCAAAACACCAGAAGAAUUGUGGAAGGAAAAACCUGUAAAUUACCAAAAUCUCAGUGUUUUUGGAUGCCCUGCUUAUCUCCACAUCAAUCAAGGCAAGCUGGAAGCUAGGGCCUUGAAAGGAGUCUUUGUUGGAUAUCCUGAUGGGGUUAAGGGAUACAUAAUCUGGUGUAGAGAGUAAGGGAAGUGUAUAGUCAGCAGGGAUGUUGUGUUUCAUGAAUUUGGAUUGCUAAAAGAAAAUGCAGAGAAUGAUACUAGACUACAAAAUGAUUCAAUAAUUAUCAAACAAUCUGGAACUUCCAAGGUUAAGGUGGAGCUGUUUGGAAAUAAAGACAGUAGAAAAGAGGUAGCUGAUUAUGAAGAGAGGACCACAGCUAAAGUUGAGGAACAUGAGUCAUCAGAGUUGCCACAAGCUGACUUGCAGACUUAUCAGUUAGCAAGAGAUAGAGUUAGAAGAGAAGUCAAAGCACUAGUGAGGUAUGGCUAUGCUGACUUAAUUACUUAUGCAUUGUUGUGUGCUGAUGAUGUGGCAAUUGAAGAGCCUGCUAACUUCUCUGAAGUUAUUGAAAGUGUGCAUUGUGAUAAGUGGCUUGAGGCAAUGCAAGAUGAAAUGGGAUCCCUUCAAAGAAAUCAGACCUGGACACUUGUUCCAAAUCUAGGUAAUAAAAAGUUGAUCAGUUGUAAGUGGAUCUUCAAGAAGAAUGAAGGAAUUCCAGAUGUUGAACCUCCCAAAUAUAAAGCAAGGCUAGUGGCUAGGGGGUUUACACAGAGAAAGAGUGUAGAUUUCAAUGAAAAAUUUUCCCCUGUUCUUAAGCACAUUUCAAUAAGAAUUUUAUUAGUCAUGGUAGCCUUACUUGACUUGGAGCUUGAGCAAAUGGAUGUAAAAACAGCAUUCCUUCAUGGUAAUCUUGAAGAACAGAUAUUGAUGGCACAACCUAAAUGUUUUGAGUGCAAAGGAAAUGAGGAUUAUGUUUGUUUGCUGCAUAAGUCCUUGUAUGGACUCAAGCAAUCCCCACGACAGUGGUACAUAAGAUUUGAUGAUUUUAUGGUCUCAAAAGGCUAUCACAUAAGCAAAUAUGACAGUUGUGUUUACUUUGGUGGAUCAUAUCAAGGUGGAGUUGCUUAUUUGCUUCUGUAUGUUGAAGAUAUGUUAAUUGCAAGAAAAUAUAAGUUGGAGAUAGAGAGGUUGAAGAAAUGAAGGAUCUCGGCAAUGCCAAAAGAAUCCUUGGGAUGAACAUUACAAGGGGCAGAUCUGCUGACACUUUGUUCUUGAGUCAUGAGAAAUAUAUCAAGAAGGUUCUGGAGAGGUUUGAGAUGCAAGACUAUAAACCUGUCCAAACACCACUUGGUCCCCAAUUCAAGUUGACAGCAGCUCAAUCAUCAGAAGAUGAGUCUCAGGUGAGUGAAUUCCCAUAUGCACAGGUUGUAGGGAGCCUGAUGUAUGUAAUGGUAUGCACCAGGUCAGAUAUAGCUUAUGCAGUAAGUGUUGUCAGCAAAUUUCUCAGUUGUCUAGGCAAGGUUCACUGGAAUGUUGUAAAAUGGAUAAUGAGAUAUCUUAAGGGCUCUUUUACUUGUGGUUUGCUGUAUGGGAAGACUAAGAGUGACAUAAGUGAAGUCCUGGGGUUUGUAGACUCUGACUUUGCUGGAGAUCUUGAUAGAAUGAAGUCAACCUCAGGGUAUAUGUUUGUGUUAAACAGUUGCCUGAUUAGCUGGAAGUCAUCACUUCAGUCUGUGGUUGCUUUAUCCUCAACUGAAGCUGAGUUUGUUGCAACUACAGAGGCAGUAAAAGAGGCCAUGUGGCUAAGAGGUUUGCUUAAUGAGUUAUGGUUAAAUCAGAAAAUUGUUCAGGUUUUCUGUGAUAACCAAAGUGUCAUACACCUGGUAAAGAAUCAGAUGUAUCAUGAAAGAACCAAGCACAUUGAUGUGAAGCUCCAGUUUAUCAGAGAUGAGGUUGGAAAAGGAACUAUAAUUGUGUCCAAGAUCUAUACCAGUGUGAAUCCAACUGAUGUUAUUACAAAAGCACUUCCCACUGCAAAAUUUGAAUUCUAUGUGAAUCUAAUGGGCAUCUCGCCCAAACCUAACUAAAUUCAAUAGUGAAUUGUAGUUGAAUGAAGGUUUUUUAGGUGCUGUGUUAUUGAAAGGAUCAACUGAAUCAACUGCAAGGUGGAGAAUGUGAAGAUGUGUGUGUGGACUGAAAUGAAGAAUAUGAAAAAGUUGAGAGCUGUUGUGCAGAUUGACUUCAGUUGAUGGGGUCUAUUAGAUAUUGUCUGCUGACGUGGUAUGAAUUCGUUAUAAUCUGUUAUAACGAGUUCAAUAUAUCAGUAUAUAAUGGAGCUGAUGGAUGGUGCCUGUUUUAGAGUCUUUUUCGUAUUCAUUUGUUCAUCAUUUUGCACAAGAUUUGUUCCAUUGUGAUCUGUGUAAAGUCUUCUGUAAAUCCACUCAUGAUUGGAUUAGUUCUUGAUCAAUAACGAGUAAAUUUUCCUUCAAGUGUGCUGGUCUGUGCCCCUGUUUUUGGUUCUAAUAUUGUUUCUUUGUUUUGGCAUUUCAUUUCGAUUGUGUGCUUGGUGUUUCUACUCAUCAAGAUUUGUGAGUCUUGUUGAGAUUAAAGGCUUAAUAGUCUUAACAAAAGGGAAUGUAGCAUUGCCAUUAAUCAACAUUCACUCUUAUGACUUUAUGACAUUAGAAUUAAAAUCUUUCGUACAUUUAAUUUAUUUGCUUCCAAAUUAAUCUUUAAUAAAUAUUUUUUCACAUUAUCAUCAAUGGACAAAACUCCAACGAAAAUAACUACACGAGAACAAUUUAUGCUAGUAUUAAAUGCCACGAUAUCUAUAACUUUGUCUGGAUCGAUCAUUCUAAUUUUUUCGCAGAACUUUUUGUCAAUGGACAAACACCUCACAGAGCUUGUCAGCCGCAUUAUUACGAUGUAAAAUUGUACCGGAAUAUCUUGAAUUAUUAGUAGAAUAAUGAAGACUAUUUGGGGCAAUAAAAACAAAUAACGCAGAUAAAAAAAUGGCUAAAAUUAUGUAAGUGAGCCCCAAAGUUUUUGCUAUUUCCAGGAAAUCCCAAAUUUGAAUGGACUAGAGGGAGGCACGUAAGAAAUACAUUUUCUUCCUAGACAAUGACAGCUAUGACAUCAAGCCACGGUGGCGUCAGUAUUGAAAUUAAGGUGUAAUUAUUCAGCCAAUGAGCCUUACACAUCAAGAUAAAAGUCAAGAUAAUGAAAAUUUGGCUGUUUCCAUUUGAAGUUAAAAGCAACGUUUCUUUCGUUUUGUGGGCGACUCGACUGAGCACGCCCCAAUAGCUAUAUUUAGGGCGUCAAUUUGAUAUUUGAAUGGACAGGCAAGUAAGAAAUACAUUUCCUUCAUAGACAAUGACAACGAGGACAUCAAGCCACAUCAUUAUAGUUUGUAGCCCAUCUACAUUUAAACGAUUAAUAAACAAGCUUAGGUGUGCCACUGCUAUUAUUAAUUAUCCCCUGAUCAUUAUAGUUUCUGAAACAGUAAAACUAAACGAAAUUGAAUACAUCAACGAGACCGCAAUUAUCACUUGUUUAGUUGCGGUAUUUAACUUAAUUUUAAUAUAAUAUAUUUGUUAGUUAAACUUUUAAUAAUCAAAUAAUUUUGAUUUAAAAAUAAAAUUAUAGAAAUUAUUAAUUAUUAAUUAUUAAAAAUUCACAAUUAAGGGAACGUUCAUCAAACACACAUAGCUAUUGUUUUCUCUAUAUAUUGCAGUGUGUACGAUAUUGAGGGUUGAAGCCCCAAGCAUGCUCUAAAAUCCAGAUAAUAAUUAGAUCCGGGCCAAAUAUUCAUCAUUGUGUCAGCUGAUCAGUCGGUGGACAUCUCUAUUGAAAAUAUCUCUGACAUUUCACUCGACAAACUUAUUAAUAUAAAAAAUCUGUGGUUUUGCCGUCUGAAUAAUGUAGAAAAAUUUGUCUAUGCAUUAAUCUAGAUGUUUGAGGUGAUUUAUACAUCUGUGGUAAAGAUUUAUAGGUUGACUUAGACGUCUGUGGUAUAGAUUUUAUGUAUUUCAUUACAAAAUGCUGGCCGUUAGAACCCUUUCUACAUCUAUUUAUAAGAUUAACGGGUGCCAGCUAUGCCAUUACAAAUUAUCCCCUCAUCAGAUAUUUCGUUAAAAUUCAUUCUGAAACACUAAAACUAAAUAAUCGAAUAUGGCUUUGCGGGUCGAUGAUGCCAGCAGCAAUGAGACUGCAAUUAUCACUUGUUUAGUUUCUGUGCUGGCCGUGGUUUACUUCGCAUGGAAUGUGAAAAAAUCAAGGAAAGCAAAUGCUACACUGCCACCAGGACCUCGCGGCUUGCCUGUAUUCGGAUACCUCCCAUUUCUUGGAACUACUGACUUGCACAAGAAAUUCACGGAAUUAUCCGGAGUUUAUGGUCCGAUCUUCAAGCUUUGGCUUGGAAAUAAAUUAUGUGUAGUGGUGAGCUCACCUUCCCUAAUUAGACAAGUGGUUCGUGAUCAAGAUACAACAUUCGCGAACCGUGACCCACCGAAGGCUGCACUAGUGGUCUCCUAUGGUGGCAAUGAUAUUGCAUGGUCCAAUUACGGUCCCGAAUGGAGAAAGUUGCGCAAAUUUUUUGUGGGCAAGAUGAUGAAUAACGCAAGCCUUGAUGCUUGUUAUGCUCUAAGAAGACAAGAGGUUAAAAAUACUAUCAGGGAUUUGUAUAACAACGACAACAAAAUUGGCAAGCCCAUUGACAUUGGUGAAUUGUCGUUUUCAACAUUGGUAUGUGCUAUACAGAACAUGCUGUGGGGUGAAGCGCUUGAAUUAAAAGAGAAAGGGACCACUAAUCUUAGGGCUGGGCUAAAAUUUAAGCUGGCAGAACUCAUGGUGCUUGCGGGAACACCGAAUAUUUCGGAUGUCUUUCCAAUGCUUUCAUGGCUUGACAUACAAGGUAUAGAGAGGAGAGCAAAGAAGAUUUCACUCUGGCUUGAUAAUGUUAUAAAUUCUACUGUUGAACAGCAUAGAAACAAGGAGUUAACUGUUGAAGGUGAAGAAAGAGCGGGGAAAAAUUUUGAAGGAUCAAGGAACAAGAACUUCUUGCAGUUACUAUUGGAGCUUCAAGAAAAUGAUGACAGUGCUUCCUCAAUUAGCAUGAACCAAUUCAAGGCCGUACUCGCGGUAUGUUAAGCAACUAGCCACGAACAGUUAUACAAGCACAAUUGUAUAUUUGCAUGAGUGAUAUUUUCAACCUUUUUUUUUAAUUAGAAUUUUAUUGUCACCUUUUGGACAGGAUAUAAUUACGGCUGGAACCGACACCACAACUACGAUGGUGGAAUGGACAAUGGCAGAGUUGAUGCAGCAUCCACAAGUAAUGAAGAAAGUUCAGGAAGAAUUAGCUCAAGUUGUGGGCAUGGACAGUUGUGUUGAAGAAUUUCACCUGUCUAGAUUAAUGUAUUUAGAUGCUGUGGUGAAGGAAACAUUUCGUCUGCAUCCUGCAGUGCCUUUAUUACUACCACGUAGGGCAAGCGAGAGUGGCAACAUUGGUGGCUAUACCAUUCCCAAAGAUACAACUCUUAUGUUGAAUGUUUGGGCUAUCCACAGGGACCCUCACCUUUGGGAUAAUCCCUUAGAAUUUCGACCCGAGAGGUUUCUGAAUGUUGGUAUCGAGAGUAAGUUCGAUUACUCAGGUAACAAUUUUCAGUACUUGCCAUUUGGUUCUGGUAGAAGGAUGUGUGCUGGGAUUCCUCUAGCUGAGAGGAUGCUGAUGUUUGUUUUGGCUUCGUUAUUGCACUCAUUCGAGUGGGAAUUGCCAACUGGCACAAAGCUAAACUUAUCAGAAAAAUUUGGGAUUGUCAUUAAGAAAAAAGAGCCUUUGGUUGCUAUUCCAACACCAAGACUAUCCAAUUCAGAGCUCUACCAUUAAGACCAAAUGGUUGUGAUGAUUUUGUUAAUUUCCGAAGAUUUGUAUGUUAUUUCAAGUUCAAUCGUAGUAAAAUAUUUCAAAUAAGAGUCCUCCGUUGCUUUUUUUUUUUUUUUUCAACGGCAUAAUCUGUGGUCAUGCUUGUAUUUGGAGCCACUUUAGAAAAAUUAUGUUUGAAUUACAAUUUAUAAAUAUUACAUUUUAAAAUAUUAUGAGGCUAAAUUUAUACACGUUCAAUAACCCGCUUCAUAUAUAUUUAACACAAUUUAUAUCAUACAUUGUACACCCAUUUAUCAUAAAUUACACUAUUUUGUAUCUCUAAAUAAUAUUACGUAUUGAUAUUAUAAAAUAUAUAUGGAAAAGAGAACAAAGAAGAUUUCUUAUGGUUUGAAAAUAUUAUGAAUUCUGCUGUUGAACAGUAUGGAAACAAGGUCUCUGUUGUUAAAGGUGAAGAAGCAACAGGGAACAAUAUUGAAGGAAGAAAUUUCACAUGUUUAGUUGCUGAAUUUGCCGCUGUAUUCUAUCGGUAGUAAAAAAAUUAGAGUUUUUAUUUUUCUCUAUUAAUGUUAAGUCAAUUUUCUAUAACAAAUUCGGUUGAGUUUAAUUGUGUUACAAUAUAAAUUGAAUGAUAAUAGAAUUUUCAACGAAUAUUUCAAUAUUUCUAUCUCGAUUGUUGAAGUGCCAUUUAUUUGUUAUGCGAUCGAUUUUAAAAUUUAUAAAAAUUAUUUGUUACUAAAUUGCAUCAUAUGCUAAAAUCACCUGAAACCUAAUUCCAUAACUAACCCUUUAUUUUUAGUUCUCAAGAAAUCUUGUAAGAACAAAAUUCUUUUAUAACAAAACUUUUACAACACAUUAAUUUGUAACUCAUUCCUGUGCGAGAAUCACUCUCAAAUUCCUUCAAUUGCUGUUGAACAAUCAUCUGCUUAUCAAAAUUCAAGCAUAAUCUUUUCUUUUUUUUAAUUUCUUCAUCAUUCUUUUGAAAAAAAAAAAUCAGGAUAUGCUGUUAAAAUUUUGAAAUAAAUUAUCUCAAAAUAAUUACUAACCAGAAAAAACAAAGGGGUUUAACUAGGUUAUGCAUACCUUUGAAAAUUAUAUGUUGAUCGAUAAGAAUGAUGAUCACGAUUGAGGAGUUUAAUUAAAAUAUAUAAGAUUUUAAAAUUAAUCAGGGUUAAAUUGUGAAUUUUAGAAAGAGAGGUUUUGUGAGAAUGCUGAAAGGGUGUUAAUAGUUCCACUCUUUUUAAAAGCAACCAUAGUCAUCAUUUUUCCCGAUUUCUUCUUCCCAUCUCCAUCUUAUUUAGAAAUUUCCCAGAGCCUUUGUUUCCCACCUUUCAUUGUUCUUCUUUCUAAUUUAAUACUAUAGGAUUACAAAAAUAAUUACUCACAUUUUAUCAAACACCUCCAUUCUACCAAGGCCUUGUUUUAGUAGUAGGCUUUUAUUAUCUCAAUAAAAUUGAAAAAACAAAUCUCAAUAAUAUUGGAAAAAAAAAACCUACCCAUAUUUGUAACUUUAAUUUAUUAUUCUCCAUAGACCUACUUUUUAGCUUUGAAUUUUGUUGGAGCCAUAUAUAAACAGAAUAUGUUGAAUCAGCACCAAAAAAAAAAAAAAAAAACUAAUUAUAUAAUUUCUGUUCCCAAGGACAUGACUGAUUGAUUUUCAAGAAGUUUUGUUUGGCUGGCUACUUAGGUUUAAAUCUUGGUGGAGAUUAGGGGUUAAGAAAUAAAUUUGGACUUUGCACACCCCUUUAACUUUUAAAAAGAAAUGAAAAAAACUAAUUAAUUAAUCUUUAUUUUAUUUAUUAAAUAUCAUAAUCCUAUGCGUAUUUUAUUUGUUAUCUUUCUAUUUAAAAGACAGGAGGGCAGAUAAAACUGAAAUAAAUUUUUAGCCCUAUCUCCAUCUUUCAAGUUCCAUAGUUAGGUGACCAGGUAAAGAAAAUUAAUUGAAAGCUACUCCAUCAAAUUAAAAAAUUUUAUUUAUUUAAUUUGUGGAGAUGUAGAAAAUCAAACCCCAUGCCUUUUCGCGUGGAAAAGUGUCAACCUGGUCUAGCUAUGUUGCAAAAGUGAACAUAUUUUAAUACAUGACUAUCAUCCUUUAUCCUAAAUACUACUAUAACUAAUAACAUACAAUUGAAAUAAUUAAUGUUAACACUUGGCUAUAAAUAAAGGUUUUGUGCUUGAAUCUUCACGCAUGACCUUCAUUCCUUUAUUUACUUUGCUAACACAGAUUUUGAGGCAUUAAAACUAAAUAAUAAUUGACUUUGUGGGCCGAGGAUGCCAGCAACAAGGAGACCACAAUUAUCACUUGUUAAGUUACUCUAAUUGCCGUUGUCUUAUAUUCAUAGAAUAUUAGUAAUAAGAUUAUUGUAGAAUUUUUUUAUAUUAAAAUUAAGUCAAUUUGUUAUAACAAAUUUAGUUGAGUUUAAUCGUGUUACCACAUAAAUUGAAUAAUAAUAAAAUUCUCGACAAAUAUUUCAAUAUUUUUAUCCCAAGCGUUGGAGUGGCAUUUAUUUGUUAUACGAUCAAUUUUAGAAUUUAUAAAAUUAUUCGUUACUGAAUUGCACCAUAUGCUGCAUGACCUGAAACUUAAUAAACGGAACGUAGCGUUGGCACCGUUACUCAACAUACUGUUACGACUUUGUGACAUUAGAAUUAAAAUCUUUUGCACAUUUAAUUUGUUUACUUCCAAAUUAAUAUUUAACAAAAUAUUUUUUCACAUUAUCAAUGGACAAAACUCCAACGAAAAUAACUACACAAGAAAAAUGUAUGCUAGUAUUGUGUGCCAUAUCAUCUGUAAUUUUGUCAGGAUCGAUCAUUCUAAUUUUUAAGCAGAACUUUUUAUCAAUGGACAAACACCUCACACAGCUUGUCAGAGGCAUUAUUAUGAUGGAAAACUGUAAUGGUAUAUCUUGAAUUAUUGGUAGAAUAGUUCUUUGGAGCAAUAAAAACAGAUAAGACAGAUGAGAAAAUUGUCAAUACCCCACCGCAAAAGCAAAAGAAAAAAAGGAAAGGAGACAAAAGAGGAAGAAGAAAAAGAAAAAAGAACGAAGAAAAAAAUGGUGCCGCGCGGUAUAGGCAAGAAGAAAAAAUAAUAAUAAAAUAAUAAAAUAAUAGUGCACAACAGUCAUUUGAUUGCUAUAAAUAAAGGGGCAUUUCCCUCAUUUUAUUCAUCGAAUUCUUCAGUUCCUAAGCGAUUUAAGAGUCUAGUGAUUUGAGAGUUUGGGUAUAGUAUAGUUUUGAGUAGUGAGUUAAAAUAUUACAAUACUUAUAACUUAUUUUUACUAAUAAAAUAUUUUUCUUCUAUCUUCACCCGUGGACGUAGGGUCAAAGCCGAAUCACAUAAUUUUUAGUAUCCCUAUGUGAUUAUGUAUCUCAUUAUUUUUCAAUUUUACUUUAGUUACGUGUCUGCUACAUCCUUCAAUUUACUAACAAAAAUGGCCAAAAUUAUAUAAGUGACCCAAAUUUUUUUGCUAUUUCCAAGAAAUCUCCAAUCUGAAUGGGCCAGACCAGAGGGAGGCAAGUUAGAAAUACGUUUCCUUCAUAGACAAUAACAGCGAUGAGUCGAUGACAUCGAGCCACGUCGGUAUCAAUAUUGAAUUAAAGGUGCAAUUAUUCAGCCAAUGAGCCUUACACAUCAAGAUAAAAGUCAAGAAAAUGAAUAUUUAUCCUAAUUAAAACACUUUCUGGCUGCAUUUAGUUGUUUCCAUUUGAAGUUAAAAGCAACGUUUCUUUCGUUUUGUGGGCAACUCGACUCAGUUAGCUGGCUUCUAGUGCUAGUAAGUGAAAAUAGAAGGCUAAUGAUUUAUUUGUUAUCUUUUGAUAAAAUUAUUAAAGAUAUAAUAGAUUUUUCAUGAUACAAAUAAAAAAUCACAUCAACAUAGCUUCCAAAGUACAACAGCUAAUGUUUACCAAACACUUUGUUGUAGCUUUUAAGCUACAGCUGCCCAACUUUAAUUUCAAAUGCACCCUUAAUAGGUUGAUUGAAUUUGUGGGAUAUAGAUUCCACAUAUCGUAUGACCUAGUAACUAUACAAGUGGUUCGUGAUCAAGACACAACAUUUGCUUCCGGCCCGGUGACCCAGCAAUCGCUGCAUUGGUCGCCACCUAUGGUGCCAACGAUAUUGCAUGGUCCAAUUGUGGCCUUGAAUGGAAAAAGUUGAGCAAAUUAUUUGUGGACACGAUGAUAAGUAACGCAAGCCUUGAUGCUAGUUAUGGUCCAAGAAAACAAGAGAUAUGCAUAACAACAAAAAGGAAAAAAAAAAAAAAAAAAAAAAAGGCAUUUGCAAGCCCAUUGAUAUUGGUGAAUUGUCGAUUUCAACUUUGGCAUGUGUAAUCCAGAGCCUGCGCGCUGUGGUGUGGCGCUGGCACGCUUGCAUUGACGAGGGGACAAGUCUUGGGGCUGAGCUAACAUUUAAGCUCGCAGAACUCAUGGUGCUAAUGGGAACACCAAAUAUUUUUUGACAUAUUUUGGUGCUUUCAUGGUUUAAUUCAAGGUAUAGAAAGGAGUGUUGAGAAUGUCAAAUAAAACGGUAUUGAAUGGAAGUUGUUAAAGACACGAUCCGCACCGAACGACAACAGCACGGUUGCUAAAAAUCCUUCCGUAAUAGGCAUAUCUAAUUUUUGAAAAAGUGUAACCUCUACAUUUAUAAAUAUACUCAAUGUAUAAUGUUUUACUUAAGAAAUGAAAAACUUGUUUGUUCAAGGAGAAUAAAGAAAAAUUUUCUAUGAUUUUUCUAUGGUUUGAACAAAGAAGGUUUUAACGAGUAUUAUAGACCUCGAUUGAAUGUUCGAAUGUAUAAUAAAAGAGAAACUGUCACAUAAAUGACAAAGAUACUUGAAAAAAAAAAAAAAGGGCAGCAAUAGAGAAUUAGAUCCGACUGUACAAAUAACUAGUUAAUUCAUCGAUACAUCAUUUUCUUGCUAGAAAAUGACAAUUAUGACAGCAAGCCACGAUAGUGUCAAUAUUGAAAUUGAUUUGCAAUUAUUCAGCCUAUGAGCCUUACACGUCAAGAUAAAAGUCAAGAAAAUGAAAGUUAAUAUCAAUUAAAACACUUCCAUUUCUAUGUGAAGUUAAAAAACAACGUUUCUUUUGUUUUGUGGGGGAUUCAACUGAGCACGCGCCACUAGCUAGCUGGCUUCUAGUUCUAGCAUAUGAAAACAGAAUUCUAAAGAUUUCACUUUCACCUUUUUUCUUUUUUUGGGGUUUUGAAUCAAAGUCAAGGUCGCACUGAAUAAUAUGUAAAAUUUGAAAAAGAAGAAUUAAUAGAGAACAAAGUUUUGUUUUAAAUUCACAUGGUGUGCAUACAAUUCAACAAACACUUCCUAUAAUAAAUCUGGAGUUGUAUCCCACGUUGAACAAUAAAGGAAAGUCACCUAAAUAUACAUGUAGGAUAAGUUACUUUAUUUAGUAAGUUUGUAUUUUCUUCUUUCUUCUAGUUUACAUAUAAAUUUGAUUAGAUAACUUAACACAUAUUUUAAUACUUGAUCAGAAGCCCGACGUACAGGUGGAUCUAGAAACUUGAUUUCUAAGAGUAAUACUAUAAUAAAAAAAUAAUGAUUCAUAGAACCAAUAUCAAAAUUUGUUUACAAGAUUGCCCCCACUCAAAGGUAAUUUUCAUAGAAAUUAAUAGGAAAUUUAAUUGUUAGUGGGGUCAAAUUGCCCCCACACUCUGAAUGUAGAUCCACGCCCGACCCUGAGUCAAGUAUAUUUUGCCACAUAUACUCUGAAUGUCGGCAGGAAAAAUCUUCCACUUUAGUUAAAAAUUUUCACUUAAAAAAUAUUUAUGUUAAUAAAGUUCGUAAAGGAAAUGAGUUUAAUUAAUGAAUAUUAUAGGAGAAAUUAAAGGAAAUGAGUUUAAUUAAAGAAUAUUAUAGGAGAAAUUCUAUUGUUCGGCUUUUAAUAAAUUAAUUAAUAGGUUUAAAAGAUUAAUAUACAUCAAAAUAUUAUUAGUUGGUGGGGGUUCCACAUCGGACUAAUACGUGUCACCUUACUUGUGAGAUUAAGACAAUCGACUUAGACUAUUUAAAUAUGUUUGAAGCUUAGAUGGCACCGCUUCAAUUUGCAUUACUGAAUGUCAUUCUUUAUCCUAAUUACUACCGUAAUUGAUAACAUGCAAUUGAAGUAACUAAUAUUAGCACUUGGCUAUAAAUGAACUAAAGGCCGUGCAAUUGAAUCUUUACUUGAUCACUUCACUCCUUUAUUUUGCUAACACAGAUUUUGAGAUAUUAAAACGAAAUAAUAAUUGAAUCUGGCUUUGUGGGUCGAUGAUGCUAGCAAAAACGAGACCACAAUUAUCACUUGUUUAUUUGCUGUAUUUGACGUUGUUUCAUAUUGGUAGUAAUAGGGUCAGUUUUUAAUCUUUUUAUAUUAAAGUUAAGUCAAUUUGUUAUCAAAAAAAAAAAUUGGUUGAGUUUAAUUAUAUUGCUAUGUACAUUAAAUAAUUAUAAUAUUCUUGAGGGAAAAAGACACCUAGAACCUCAAGGUUUGGGGAAAUGGUCACAAAGACUCCUAAGUUUUAAAAAAGGAACACUAAGAUCUUUUUUUACCCAUAAUACCCUUUGACUAGAGUAAUUAAAAAAUUGACUUUAAAGGUUUUUAAAUAAUUCUAAUUUAAUAUAAAUCAUAUAAUCUAUCUAGUAAACUAAUAAUAUUAAAUUAUUUUUUAUAUUUAAAAUAAUGUUAAAUUUUAAAUUAUUAUAUUUAUAAAAUUAUAAAGAUUUUAAAUAAAUAUUUGGAUUGAAUAUAUUUUACAAUUAAAAGUCUUCCUAUUAAUAAUAUUAAAAUUUAAUUUUACAAAAUAUAUAUUCAAAAUAUUUUUAAUUUUAAUUUAUUUAUUUUAAUAUUAUGUUUCUACCUAUUAUUAAAAAUUACUUUAAUAUAAUAAAAUAGGUCUAAUAGAUUGAAAAAUAUGAAAAUAUUUUUAAAAUUUUAAAUUAUUUUGAAAUGUAUAUAUUAUUACAUUUAUUUCAAUGUCAUAUUUUCAUUUAUUAUAAAAUUUUGGGGUUAUUUUUUUGGGAAUUUAUAGAGUCAAAGAGCAUUAUAAUUUAAUCCAUGCACAAUAUCUAUAAUUAUAUCGGUUGUCGGCUGAUUUCGUGGAGGGGGCGGCAGUUCAAAAUUUUUACGUGCAUGUUGGAUGGACGUCUCUAUUAAAGGAGAGCCACCACUUGCAUGGUAAUUUUUUUAAAUAAAUAUAUACAUUUCAAAACAUUAUUUUCUUGUUGUAUAGUUAACAUGUCACCUUAGAUGUAUUUUAGAGCUUCUCCUAUUAAAGAUAAUCUCAUGCAGUGUUACAGAGUAUGGUAAUAUGGUAUAGAUGAGAGCAUCUGAUUAAAUGAAGCAGCUGGUAAUGCUUACGUGUGUGAGUUAGUUAUCCAGCUCAGCAGCAAAGCAAACGAAAUGAAUUGCAUGCAUAUUAGAUCCAACAAACUGGUAAACUCUAGAUUCUUCUUUCAUUUAGUAUAAAUACCAAGUUGUUAUCAUUUGCUAAAUAUAUAAUAAGAUGAUCAUUUUCAGAUCUUUCCUUUAUAAUUUUCUAUAACUUUCUCGUUAGUUUCUCUUGAACCAAACACUUUGUACGAACUCUUUCGUGCAGUGAUACUUCUCGUGAUCUAAUCAUUAGUAGAAUCUAUAAUUUCGCUACUGUAAUAAAAUCUGUCACUACCCUAUAUGAAUGUAGAUAUUUGACGCGAUUUGUAAUUGCUUCCGACAGGAAAACAGCAAUAGUUUUAUUGAAAUUUGUGGUAUAGAUUCCACGAAUCUUAUGACAGAAUACUGACCACUCCAACCCUAUCCGCAUUUACACGAUUAAUACACAAGCUUAGAUGUGACAAUGCAUUUGUCACUCAUUCAAAUUCAUCCUGAAACACUAUACACUAAAUAAUCGAAUAUGGCUUCGUGGGUCGAUGAUGCUAGCAGCAACGAGACUGCAAUUAUCACUUGUUUUGUUGCUGUACUUGUCGUGGUCUAUUUCGCAUGGAAUGUAAACAAAUCAAGUAAAGCAAAUGCUAAAUUGCCACCAGGACCUCGGGGCUUGCCAGUAGUCCGAUACCUCCCAUUUCUUGGAACUACUGACUUACACAAGACAUUCACGGAGUUAUCUGGAGUUUAUGGUCCGAUCUUCAAGAUUUGGCUUGGGAAUAAAUUGUGUGUAGUGGUGACCUCGCCUACCCUAGUUAAACAAGUGGUCCGUGAUCAAGAUAUAACAUUCUCAAACCGCGACCCACCGAUCGCUGGAACUGUGACCACCUACGGUGGCAAUGAUAUUGCACUUUCCAAUUACGGUCCCGAAUGGAAAAAGUUGCGAAAAUUAUUUGUGAGCAAGAUGAUGAGUAAUGAGACCCUUGAUGCUUGUUAUGCUCUAAGAAAACAAGAGGUUAAAAAUACUAUCAGGGAUUUGUAUAACAACAAUAAGGAUAAUAUUGGCAAUGGCAAUGGCAAGCCCAUUGACGUUGGUGAAUUGUCGAUUUCAACUUUGGUACGUGUUAUGCAGAACAUGCUGUGGGGUCAAGCAUUGGAAACAAGAGAGAAAGAGAUUACUAAUCUCGGGGCUAAUCUUGCAGAACUCAUGGUGCUACUGGGAACACCAAAUAUUUCGGAUAUUUUUCCAGUGCUUUCAUGGCUUGACAUGCAAGGUAUAGAGAGAAGAGCUAAGAAGAUUUCUCUAUGGUUUGAAAAUAUUAUCAAUUCUGGUGUUGAACAGUAUAGAAACAAGUUCUCUGUUGUUAAAGGUGAAGAAGCUGCAGCACGAAAAAAUAUUGAACGAUCAAGAAAUAAGGACUUCUUGCAGUUGCUGUUGGAGCUUCAGGAAAAUGAAGAUAGUGCUUCAUCUAUUAGCAUGAACCAACUAAAGGCCGUGCUCGUGGUAUGUUAAGCAACUAGACACAAAAAGUUGUAAAAGCACAGCGAUAUAUUUGCGCGAGGCCCCGAGUGAUGUUUUGCCUCGAGAACUCUCAAUUUUAUCUUACGGUAAAAAAUGUUUUUCAACUUUUUUUUUUAAUUAGAAUUUUAUUGCAAUUUAUUUAACAGGACAUAAUUGUGGCCGGAACCGACACCACAACUACGAUGGUGGAAUGGACAAUGGCAGAGUUGAUGCAACAUCCACAAGUAAUGAAGAAAGUUCAAGAAGAAUUCGCUCAAGCUGUGGGCAUGGACAGUUGUGUUGAAGAAUAUCACUUGCCUAAAUUAAAGUAUUUAGAUGCUGUGGUGAAAGAAACAUUUCGUUUGCAUCCUGCGUUGCCCUUAUUGGUACCUCGCACGGCAAGCAAGAAUAGCAACAUUGGUGGCUAUACCAUUCCCAACGACACUAAUCUUAUGUUGAAUGUUUGGGCUAUCCACAGGGACCCUCAACUUUGGGAUAAUCCCUUAGAAUUUCGACCUGAGAGGUUCUUGAAUGAUGGUAUCAUAAGCAAUUUCAAUUACUCGGGUAACAAUUUUCAGUACUUGCCAUUUGGUUCUGGUAGAAGGAUGUGCGCUGGGAUUGCUCUAGCUGAGAGGAUGUUGAUGCUUGUUCUGGCUUCGUUGUUGCACUUGUUUGAGUGGAAAUUGCCCUCGGGCACAAAGCUAGACUUAUCUGAAAAGUAUGGGAUUGUCAUGCGGAAAAAAGAGCCUCUAAUUGCUAUUCCAACACCAAGGCUACCAAAUUCAGAUCUCUACCAGUAAGAUCAAAAUGGUUUUGAUAAUAUUAUUUCCCAUUGUAUUGGAUUUGAAGUUCAAUCAUAAUAAAAUAUUUUAAUAAAAUGUCCUCGGUUGCUAAUUUUUCAAUAGUAUAAUCUGCACCUGUCUUUUAUAGCAAUUUGGUCUAAUUUAUUUUUGAAUUAAAAUCCAUAAAUAUUUAUAUUUUUUUAAUUAUAUUAGGAAUUAUGUGGGGUGUAUGGUCUGAUCUUCGAGCUAUGCCUUGAAAACAAAUUAUGCAUAGUCGUGCACACGCUUUCCCUAAUUAAGUUUGUGGUUCGUGCUCAAGGCACAGCAUUCACCCCCCGCGACCCAACAAUCGCUACAUUGUUCCCCACCUAAAGUGCCAACAUAUUGCAUAAGUAACGCAAAAUAUGGUCCCCAAUGGAAAACGUUGCGCAAAUUAUUUCUGGGCAAGAUGAUAAGUAACGCAAGCCUUGAUGCUUGUUAUGGUCUAAGAAAACAAGAGGUUAAAAAUACUAUCAGAGACAUAUAUAAAACAACAACAGAAAAAAUUGGCAUUAUCAUCGAUAAUGGUGAGUUGUGGAUUUCAACUUUGGUAUGUUUAAUUCAGAACCCGCAGUGGGGUGGCGCUAGCACGCCUGCGUUAGGAGACGAGGGGACCAAUCUUGGGGCCGAGCUAAAAUAUAGGCUUGUAGAGCUCAUGCUGCUAAUGGUAAUGGGAACACCUACUAUUUCGGAUACUUUUCCGAUGCUGGUUUAAUUCAUGGUUUAGAAAGGAGAACAAAGAAGAUUUUUCGAUGCUUUGAAAAUAUUAUAAUUUUUAUAAAAUCUCUUAUUGAUAACUAAACAACUAAAAUUUCUGUAAAGUUUUUGUGGACUUUUGAUCUCCUAUGGUGCCAAUAUUUUCGACUAAUUUUUUCCUUCAAUUAAUGAUGUUGGUUGAGAAAGACUAUUUUUCUUGCAAUAAUAUAGUAUUCGUGGUCCUAUUAGGGUUCCGAAUGGAGAAAGUUGCACUAAGUUUUUUGAGUACCAAAUGAUGAGUAAUGUACGUAAGCCUUGAUGGUAGUUAUGGUCUAAGAAAACAAGAGGUUAAAAAUACUAUCUGGGAUUUGUACAACAAUAACAAAAUUGGCAAGCCCAUUGACAUUGGUGAAUUGUCAGUUUCAACCUUGGUAAGUGUUUUCAGAACAUGCUGUGGGGUGAAGCGCUUGGAAUAAGAAAGAAACGGAUGACGAAUAUUGGGGCUGAGCUUAGAUUUAAACUUGCAGAACUCAUGGUGCUGUCAGGAACACCGAAUAUUUCGGAUAUCUUUCCAGUGCUUUCAUGGUUUGAUAUACAAGGUUUUGAGAGAAUAGCAAAGAAGAUUUCUCUAUGGUUUUAAAAUAUUAUCAAUUCUACUGUUGAACGCUAUAGAAACAAGGUCUCAGUUGUUAAAAGUGAAGAAGAAGACGCAGCAGCAGCAGCAGCAGGGAACAACAUUGAAGGAAGGAAUAAGGACCUGGUGCAGUUACUCUUGGAGCUUCAAGGUAAAGAAGAAAAUGCUUCAUCAAUUAACAUGACGCAAUUUAAGAGCUUGCUCGUGGUAUGUUUGCGCAACUAGCCACAGACAGUUACAGAAACUGAGUUUGGCAGAUUACGACCGUUUCUGGUGAUUAUAUAACUAUUUGUGGCUGUUUUUUGUUUUUUUUUUCUUUUAAUUGGAAUUUUAUUGUAAAUUUCUUAACAGGAUAUAAUUUAGGGUGGAACCAACACCACAACUAUAAUGGUGGAAUGGACAAUGGCAUAAUUGAUACAGCAUCCACAAGUAAUGGAGAAUGUAAAGGUAGAACUAAGUCGGGCCGUGGCCAUUGACAGCCAUGUUGAAGAAUUUCACCUACCUAAGUUAAAAUAUUUAGAUGUUGUGGUGAAAGAAACAUUCCGCACGAUAAUAUAAUAUAUGAAUCAUAUAUCCUCUAUUGGUUUUUUGCUCCUUUUUUUUUCAAUAGCUUAAUCUAUCAUUAAAAUCUUCUGAAAUUCUAAAUUAAUAUACAUUCAACCUAGAGUUCAACCCAAAGUUUUAUUGAGCAUUAAAAAAAAAAAUUCUACGACUAAAAAUUUUACAGAGUAUAAAUUAAAAAUUAUGCGCCUACUAACAGACAAAAAACAAUUGAUACACAUUCACCAAUCAAAGGCAAACAAGAGAUUAUUAACAAUAACUUAAUAAUAAAAUUAUAAGGAAUCAAAUAGAAAUGGUACCUAGAAACACAUCACGCCAUUUAAUCAAUCACUUACCCAUAAAAUCCAAACUUAUAAACUAUUAAGGGGGGGAAAUGGAUACCUUUGGGUUUCAUUAAAUCAAAAUUACAACACCAUUAAAUACUCAAAAAUGAAAAAAAAAAAAUCAUACCCAAUAAAAGAGAAAAAAAUAACCCACAAAAAAAAUCAUCAAGAAAAUAAAUUUGAGACUAAGAGAAGAUAUUAAUUAACGCCUGGGUUGCAUUGGAACCACGGCUUUGGCUUCCAUUUUUCAAUUCUUGGUCACAAGUGAUUUCUUGUUUGUUUGCAAUGAUGACGGUUGAUUAAUGAAGCUCUAUUAACAAUGAAUGAAUCAAAAAACUUGAGCCUUGAAAAGACUAACGGUCAUAUUUUUCAACUCCGAAUUAGUGGCGUUUGAUGAGUCCUUGCCAAAACAAUCACUCGGCAGAUAACGAUCAUUUUUCAACCAGCAAAACUCAUUCAUUGUUUUUCACCUUAGUGAAGAUUUAAAAAUUGUUUCAAAAUAGGAUUCUUAAAAAAAUAAUAAUAAAAUGAUAUUUAACUUAAUUCUAACUUAGGAAAACAAAAUAUCUACACUCCCAAAGUUUGGAGAAAUGGUCAUUAAUAUCCCCAACUUUCCAAAAAGAGACACCAAGAACCCUUUUAACCAUAAUACUAUUUACUUCUAUUAUCCCAAAAAACAAUUGACUCUAAUAUUUUAUAAUAAAUAAAAAUAUAACAUUAAAAUAAAUGUAAUAGUAUAUACAUUUUAAAAUAGUUUCAAUAUUUAAAAAGCAUUUUAAUAUUUUUAAAUUCUAUUUUAUAUAUAUUGAUUAUUUUAAAGUAAAUUUUAUAAUAAAUAGAAUCAUAAUAUUAAAAUAAAUGCAUUAAAAUUUAAAUUAUUUUGAAUAUUAUGUAAAAUAAUAAUUUUAACAUUAUUAGUAUAUGAGAAUUUUUUUAAUUGUAGAAUGCAUUUAAUGCAAAUAUUUAUUUAAAAUCUCUACAAUAAAUAAAAAUAUACUAUUAAAACAAAACUCUACAAUACAUACAUACAUACAUAUACAUUGGCCUGGUAUUUUUAUUUUUCAUUUUUAAACUUAUUAAAUCCUCUAACUAUCAUUUGAUUUUUUUUUUUUUUCAAUGAUCAAGAGGUCAUUGCCGGAUAAAUGAUUAAAAUCAACUAGUUCUACAAGAAUAUCUCUUUUUAAAGGAAGAUGAUUCUCUCUCUCGAAAUUUUUUUAUCUCGUGCUACAAACUAAAAACUUAUGCCACUUCAUUAACCACAAAGAUCUUUGAGGAAAUGAUGCUUCCCUCCCCCCCCCCCCCCCCCCCCCUCCCACAAAAAAAAAAAAGAGUCCUUCCAUAUUGUGUGAAGGCUAAUAUAUCGAUGAAUCUAGAUUUCUUUAAAUUUUUUGUUUUACUCAAUUCGAGAUAAUAAUUCAAUCCAUGCAAAUAUCUAUCAUUGUAUGAGCUGACCAGUUAAUAGGUUGAUUGAAUAUAUGUGGUAAAGAUUCCACGUAUCUCAUGACAGAAUGCUGACCACUGGAACCCUAUCUACUUUUACGCGAUUAAUUCACGAGCUUAGGCACAACAAUUGCAAUACAAAUUAUCCCCUCAUCGUAUAUUUCGUUAAAAUUCAUUCUGAAGCAGUAAAACUAAACAAUCGAAUAUGGCUUUGCGGGUCGAUGAUGCCAGCAGCAAUGAGAGUGCAAUUAUCACUUGUUUAGUUUCUGUGCUUGCCGUGGCUUAUUUCGCAUGGAAUGUGAAAAAAUCAAGGAAAGCAAAUGCUAAACUGCCACCAGGAACUCGCGGCUUGCCUGUAGUCGGAUACCUCCCAUUUCUCGGGACUACUGACUUGCACAAGAAAUUCACGGAAUUUAUUUUACUAUUAUAUUUAUAUUCAAAAUAAUUUUAAUUAGCUUUUAAAAUGAAUGAUUUUAGGAAAUUAUAAAUAAAGGUAACUAAGAAUUCUCUUAAUGCAAUAUAUUAUUAAUUAGUUUAAAAAUACAAAUUUAUUAAUUAGAGAAAUUAUUAGUGAAUUUAAAUUAAUGAUCUUAAUGAUUUGUUUGUACGAUUGCCCCCAAUCAAAGGUAAUUUUCCUAAAAAUUAUUAGGAAAUUAGAGAAAUUUAAUUUUUUUUAGUGGGUUCAAUUGCCCACACACCCCGACUGAAGCAUUUUUUACAAUAUGUACUCCGUUUGUCGGCAGGAAAAUAAAGGUCUUGACACAUGAUCACUUCAUUCCUUUAUUUACUUUGCGAACGCAGAUUUUGAGGUAUUAAAACAAAUAAUAAUUGAAUAUGACUUUGUGGGUCGACGACGCCAGCAACGAGGAGACCGCCAAUUAUCACAUUUUAAGUUUGCUGUAAUUGCCAUUGUUUUAUAUUAGUAGAAUAUUAGUGAUAAGAUAAUUGUAGAGUUUUCAUUUUUUUAAUAUUAAAAUCAAGUCAAUUUAUUAUAAUAAAUUUAGUUGAAUUUAAUCGUAUUACCACAUAAAUUGAAUAAUAAUAGAAUUCUCCACAAAUAUUUCAAUAUUUUAAUCUCAAGCAUUGGAGUGGCAUUUAUUUGUUAUGCGGUCGAUUUUAGAAUUUUUAAAAUUAUUCGUUACUGAAUUGCACCAUAUGCUGCAUCACCUGGAACUUACUAAACGGAACGUAGCGUUGGCACCGUUACCAACAUUCACUGUUACGACUUUGUGACAUUAGAAUUAAAAUCUUUUCCACAUCUAAUUUGUUUACUUCCAAAUUAAUAUUUAACAAAAUAUUUUUUCACAUUAUCAAUGGACAAAACUCCAACGAAAAUAACUAUACAAGAAAAAUGUAUGCUAGAAUUGUAUGCCAUAUCAUCUGUAAUUUUGUCAGGAUCGAUCAUUCUAAUUUUGAAGCAGAACUUUUUAUCAAUGGACAAACACCUCACACAGCUUGUCAGAGGCAUUAUUAUGAUGUAAGAUUGUAAUGGUAUAUCUUGAAUUAUUGGUAGAAUAGUGAAUAACUAUUUGGAGCAAUAAAAACAAAUAAGACAGAUGAGAAAAUGGCUAAAAUUAUAUAAGUGACCCAAAUUGUUUUGCUAUUUCCAAGAAAUCCCCAAUCUGAAUGGACCAGCCAGAGGGAGGCAAGUUAGAAAUAUGUUUCCUUCAUAGACAAUAACAACGAUGAGUCGAUGACAUCAAGCCACGUCGGUAUCAAUAUUGAAAUAAAGGUGCAAUUAUUCAGCCAAUGAGCCUUACACAUCGAGAUAAAAGUCAAGAAAAUGAAAAUUUAUCCCAAUUAAAACACUUUCUGGCUGCAUUUAGCUGUUUCCAUUUGAAGUUAAAAACAACGUUUCUUUCGUUUUGUGGGCGACUCGACUGAGCUAGCUGGCUUCUAGUGCUGGUAAGUGAAAAUAGAAGGCUAAUGAUUUCACUUUCACAUUUUUCUUUUCCUUUUUUGGGAAUCAAAGUCAAGGUCAAGAAGAAUAAAUGGAGAAUUCGGAAAAAUGGGUGCAUAAUGUGAUCCAUUCAUGAAGAAGAGUACGUGAGCGUCGGGCAACAGUAUUUUUACCUAUUAAGCUCCAGUUUAAUUUUGUUGUAGGAAAACAAAAUUUUGUUUUCAAUUCACAUCGUGUGCAUCCAAUUCAACAAACACUUUGUAAUAAUUAAUGUUGAGUUGUAUCCUACGUUAAGGAGAGUUACUUAAAUUUAUAAAUAGGAUAAAUUACUCUAUUUAAUAAGUUAAUGUUUUCUUCUUUCUUCUAGAUUACAUAUAAAUUUAGUCAGAUAACCUAACACAUAUUUUAAUACUCGAUCAGAAGCCCUAAGCAGUGGUGGAUCCAAUAAAUUGAUUUAUAUGGUGUAAUAAUGUAAUAAAAAAAUGGUGAUUCAUAAAAUUGACCCAAUAUCAAAAUUUGUUUGCAAGAUUACUCCCCACUCAAAGGUAAUUUUCCUAAAAAUUAAUAGGAAAUUUAAUUGUCAUUGGGAUCAAAUUGCCCCCACACUCUUGAAUGUAGAUCCUCCCCUGGCCUUGAGUCAAGUAUUUUUUCCAAUAUAUACUCCGAAUGUCGGCAGGAACAACCUUCCACUUUAAUUUAAAAUUUUUACUUGAAAAAUUAAUUAAUGUUAAUAAAGUUCGUAAGAGAAAUGAGUUUAAUAAAAGAAAAUUAUAGGAGAAAUUCUAAUGUUUGUCUUUUAAUAAAUUAGUUUAUAAGUUUAAAAAGUUAACAUAUAUCAAAAUAUUAUUGAUUGGUGGUGGUUUCACGUCAGAUUAAGACGUGACACUUUACUUGUGAGACUGAGACAAUCAGCUUAGACUACUUCAAUAGGUUUGAAGCGUAGGCGGCACCCAUUCAAUUUGCACCAAUGUCUAUCAUUCUUUGUCCUAAUUACUACGAUAAUUAAUAACAUGCAAUUGAAAUUAUUAAUGUUAGUACUUGCCUAUAAAUAAAGGUAUUGUACUUGAAUCUUCAUAGAUGAUCACUUCAUUCCUUUAUUUACUUUGGUAACACAGAUUUUGAGAGACAUUAAAACUAAAGAAUAAUUGAAUAUGGCUUUGUGGGUUGAUGAUGCCAGCUCCAACGUGAGUGCAAUUAUCGCAUGUUUAAUUGCUCUAUUAGCCGUGGUCUAUUUCGUGUGGACAAGGAAAACAAAUGCUAAACUUCCACCAGGACCUCGCGGCUUGCCUGUAAUCGGAUACCUCCCUUUUCUCGGAACUACUGACUUGCACAAGACAUUCACGGAAUUAGCUGGUGUGUAUGGUCCAAUCUUCAAGCUCUGGCUUGGCAACAAAUUGUGUGUAGUGGUGAGCUCGCCUUCCCUAGUUAAACAAGUGGUUCGUGAUCAAGAUAUAACAUUCGCUAACCGCGACCCACCGAUCGCUGGACUCGUGGCCUCCUUUGGUGGCAAUGAUAUUUUAUUUUCCAAUUAUGGUCCUGAAUGGAGAAAGUUGCGCAAAUUAUUUGUGGGCAAGUUGAUGAGUAACGCAAGUCUUGACGCUUGUUAUGCUCUAAGAAAACAAGAGGUUAAAAAUAUAAUCAGGGAUUUGUAUAAUAACAACAAAACUGGCAAGCCCAUAGAUGUUGGUGAGUUGUCGAUCUCAACUUUUGUAUGUGUUAUACAGAACAUGCUAUGGGGUGAAGCUCUUGAAUUAAGAGAGAAAGGGAUCAGUAACCUUGGGGCUGAGCUAAAGUUUAAGCUAGCAGAACUCGUGGUGCUAAUGGGAACACCGAAUAUUUCGGAUAUCAUUCCGUGCUUUCAUGGCUUGAUAUACAAGGUAUAGAGAAGAGAACAAAGAAGAUUUCUCUAUGGUUUGCACAAGCACAGCUGUAUUAGUUAUGUGUUUUAACUUUAUUUUAAUUAGACUUUUAUUGUUAUCGUUUUAACAGGACAUAAUUUCUGGUGGAAACGACACAACAACUACAACGGUGGAAUGGACAAUGACAGAGUUGAUGCACAAUCCACGAGUAAUGAAGAAGGUUCAAGAGGAAUUAGCUCAAGUUGUGGCCAUGGACAGCUGUGUUGAAGAAUUUCACUUGCCCAAAUUAAAGUACUUAGAUGCUGUGGUGAAAGAAACAUUUCGGCUGCAUUCUGUGCCCUAUUUAGUACCACGUAGGGCAAGCCAAAGUAGCAGCAUUGGUGGCUAUACUGUUCCUAAAGAUACAACGAUUAUAUUGAAUGUUUGGGCAAUCCACAGAGAUCCUCAAAUUUGGGAUAACCCCUUAGAAUUUGGACCAGAGAAGUUUUUGAAUGAUGGUAUUGCGAGCAAAUUUGAUUACUCGGGUAACAAUUUUCAGUACUUGCCGUUUGGUUCUGGCAGAAGGAUGUGUGCAGGGAUUGCUCUGGCAGAGAGGAUGCUGAUGUUUGUUCUGGCUUCACUGCUGCACUCAUUUGAUUGGAAAUUACAGGCAGGCACAAAGCUAGACUUAUCUGAAAAGUUUGGGAUUUUGAUUAAGAAAAAGGAGCCUUAGGUUGCUAUUCCAACACCAAGACUACCCAAUUCAGAGCUCUACCAAUAAGACAAAUGGUUGUGAUGGUAUUGUAUCCCCACUGUAUUGGAAGAUUUGUAUGUUAUUUCAAGUUCAAUCAUAAUAAGCAUAUUAAUAAAUGUCUUCAGGUUGUUAUUUUUUCGCUGGCCCAAUCGAUCAUCAUACUCGUGUUUUCGAGCUAUUUAUUUAUUUUUGAAUUGCAAUCUGAAAUAUAUGUACUUUAAAUUUCUUACAAGAUUUUAAAUUUAUAUACAUCUACAACCCAAAAUCUCCCAAAAAAUCUAAAAUUCAAAAAUUUACAAAGCAUAGACCAAAAUUUUUAUACCAACUAAUUUUUUGAUCAAUUCUACACUUUCUAAAAGGAGAGACGUUUACUCCAAUAUUUGGACUACAAUUAUAUCUAAGCUUAGGUGCCAAAUAAUAAAUUUAUAAGUAAAUUGGAUUUUGAACAUGGAGAGAGUUCUAAAACAACUUGCUUAAAGCAAAUGAACUGUCCAAUUAAUUCAAUUUUUCAAAAACAAAUCUUUAAACAUUCAACGGACAUUUUCACAAGCUUCUGGAAGGCACAAUCUAAAACCCAACAAAGAAUUCAAAAAAUCUUUGAACUUCUCACAAGCUUCUUGGAGAGAUGCGACGGCGCUGCUUUGGUAACUCAGAAGGCUCAGAGAUCUUUGAGGAAAUCAUGGUUCGCUUUCUUUUUUAUCUUUCCUCCUAAUCCUUGCAAAUUGUGUGAAGGCCAAUAAAUCCAUGAAUCUAAAUCUCUGUAAAUUUCUUUUUUCCCAAAUUUAGAUAAUUAUUUACUCCAUGCACAAUAUAUAUCACUGUAUCAGCUGUUCUUUUUUUUUUUUUUUGGAUGGGGCGGCAGUUUAGAAGAGCUGGAGGGUGUUCUUGACAGAGCUCAAAUUUUUUGUGUGCUCGUUGGGUGGAUAUAUCAAUCAAAGAUAUCCCAUACAGUGACAUCUGUCGUGAUCAAAUUAUUAGUUGAUCAAUGAUUUCGACAUCUGUUUACUGUAAUAAAAUUUGUCACUAUACAUUGAUGAAAGUGUUUGAUGUGAUUUUCUAACUGCUACCGACGGGAAACAGUUAAUAGGUUGAUUGAAUUUGUGGGAUAUAGAUUCCACAUAUCGCAUGACAGGAUCCUGACCACUCGAAUCUUAUCUACAUUUACACGAUUAAUACACCAGCUUAGCUGUGACAGUGCCAUUACAAAUUAUCCUCUCAUCAUUUGUCUUGUUAAAAUUCAUUCUGAAACACUGAGACUAAAUAUACGAAAAUGGCUUUGUGGGUCGAUGAUGCGAGCCGGAAAGAGACUGUAAUUAUCACUUGUUUAGUUGCUGUACUCGCCGUGGUCUAUUUCGCAUGGAAUGUGAACAAAUCAAGUAAAGCAAAUGCUAAACUGCCGCCGGGACCUCGUGGUUUGCCUGUAGUCGGAUACCUCGCAUUUCUCGGAACUACUGACUUGCACAAGACAUUCACCGAUUUAUCUGGAGUCUAUGGUCCGAUCUUCAAGCUCUGCUUUGGAAACAAACUGUGUGUAGUGGUGAGCUCGCCUUCCCUAGUUAAACAAGUGGUCCAUGAUCAAGAUCUAACAUUCUCUAACCGCAGCCCAUCGAUCGCUGGACUUGUUACCACCUAUGGUGGCAAUGAUAUUGCACUUUCCAAUUAUGGUCCAGAAUGGAGAAAGUUGCG